ACUCCUACGGGAGGCAGCAGUGGGGAAUUUUGGACAAUGGGGGAAACCCUGAUCCAGCCAUACCGCGUGAGUGAAGAAGGCCUUCGGGUUGUAAAGCUCUUUCAGACGGAAAGAAACGGCCACGGCUAAUACCUGUGGCUAAUGACGGUACCGUAAGAAGAAGCACCGGCUAACUACGUGCCAGCAGCCGCGGUAAUACGUAGGGUGCGAGCGUUAAUCGGAAUUACUGGGCGUAAAGCGUGCGCAGGCGGUUUUGUAAGACAGAUGUGAAAUCCCCGGGCUUAACCUGGGAACUGCAUUUGUGACUGCAAGACUAGAGUACGGCAGAGGGGGGUAGAAUUCCACGUGUAGCAGUGAAAUGCGUAGAUAUGUGGAGGAAUACCAAUGGCGAAGGCAGCCCCCUGGGUUAAUACUGACGCUCAUGCACGAAAGCGUGGGGAGCAAACAGGAUUAGAUACCCUGGUAGUCCACGCCCUAAACGAUGUCAACUAGGUGUUGGGGGAGGAGACUUCCUUAGUACCGCAGCUAACGCGUGAAGUUGACCGCCUGGGGAGUACGGUCGCAAGAUUAAAACUCAAAUGAAUUGACGG
rnacentral:rRNA from 1 species